rnacentral:rRNA from 1 species
AUGCUACCGCUUUUGGAUGGGCCCGCGGCGCAUUAGCUAGUUGGUGGGGUAAAGGCUUACCAAGGCAAUGAUGCGUAGCCGAACUGAGAGGUUGAUCGGCCACAUUGGGACUGAGACACGGCCCAAACUCCUACGGGAGGCAGCAGUAGGGAAUCUUCCACAAUGGGCGAAAGCCUGAUGGAGCAACGCCGCGUGGGUGAAGAAGGUCUUCGGAUCGUAAAACCCUGUUGUUAGAGAAGAAAGUGCGUGAGAGUAACUGUUCACGUUUCGACGGUAUCUAACCAGAAAGCCACGGCUAACUACGUGCCAGCAGCCGCGGUAAUACGUAGGUGGCAAGCGUUAUCCGGAUUUAUUGGGCGUAAAGGGAACGCAGGCGGUCUUUUAAGUCUGAUGUGAAAGCCUUCGGCUUAACCGGAGUAGUGCAUUGGAAACUGGGAGACUUGAGUGCAGAAGAGGAGAGUGGAACUCCAUGUGUAGCGGUGAAAUGCGUAGAUAUAUGGAAGAACACCAGUGGCGAAAGCGGCUCUCUGGUCUGUAACUGACGCUGAGGUUCGAAAGCGUGGGUAGCAAACAGGAUUAGAUACCCUGGUAGUCCACGCCGU